GGGCCUAUAACUCAGUUGGUUAGAGUAUACGCCUGAUAAGUGUAAAGUCAGUAG
rnacentral:tRNA from 1 species